AUUGGAUGAGCCCGCACUUGAUUAGUUUGUUGGUGGGGUAAUGGCCUACCAAGACUGUGAUCAAUAGCUGAUUUGAGAGGAUGAUCAGCCACAUUGGGACUGAGACACGGCCCAAACUCCUACGGGAGGCAGCAGUGGGGAAUCUUGCACAAUGGAGGAAACUCUGAUGCAACGAUGCCGCGUGAGUGAAGAAGGCCUUUGGGUUGUAAAGCUCUUUCGUCGGGGAAGAAAAUGACUGUACCCGAAUAAGAAG
rnacentral:rRNA from 1 species